GAUGCCAGCUAGCGAUCCGCCAAAGUUCCUCCGAUGACUUGGUGGGCAGCUUCCGGGAAACCAAAGCAUUUGGGUUCCGGGGGAAGUAUGGUUGCAAAGCUGAAACUUAAAGGAAUUGACGGAAGGGCACCACCAGGAGUGGAGCCUGCGGCUUAAUUUGACUCAACACGGGAAACCUCACCAGGCCCGGACACCGGAAGGAUUGACAGAUUGAGAGCUCUUUCUUGAUUCGGUGGGUGGUGGUGCAUGGCCGUUCUUAGUUGGUGGAGCGAUUUGUCUGGUUAAUUCCGAUAACGAACGAGACUCUAGCCUACUAAAUAGACGUACUUUAUUACCGGCAUCUCAAGGCCCAUCGGCUGUAUUGUUACUGAAUGUUAUUUGUAUAUUUUGUUGAUAUAUAUUUAUAAUAUGUAUGAUUGGGAAUAUAUAUUUUUAUUAUAAUUUUAUUUUAUAAUUGAUUAUUUUUAAUUAUAUAUAAUUAUUUAAUCUGCAUUCAAUGAUAUAUUUGAAACAUGAUACAUUAAUUAAAGUGACAACAGUUUUUUGAUGU
rnacentral:rRNA from 1 species